CUCCCACCUCCCACAAAUCUAGCCAGUAGCCACUCUCUUCUCACACUCUCGCUUUCUGCACUCUCGAGGCCUGCGGCGAACCCACCUAGCGCCGGCGAGACCGUUCCUCCACCACCUUGCAGCGCCGCCGAACUCUCCCCCCUAGCGCCUCCGAACCUUCCUUCCACUGCUCCUAAGACCUCCUCGCGAACAGAGCACAACGAAGCCCCAGCCCCAGCCAGCAGUGAGCAGCCCAGCACCACCCUCGCACCCAGCAGUAGCACAGCACCACCCACUCACCCAGCACAGCACCACGCCACCACCCAGUGUUUCUGGCCACCCACAACUUAGCACCUCCUACCCAGCCACCGAUUCAAGUCAGAUAUGGAGCGGUAGCCACCGAGCCAGUAUGGAGCUUUCAAGAUCUUUGUCUCCUUUUGUUGCCAAUAUGACAGCUUUGACAAAUAUGGUAUGUAUGUAUAAGCAAGUUGCUCAGAUGGCUGA